rnacentral:tRNA from 1 species
UGCCCGGUCGUCUAAGGGUAGGACAGCAGGUUUUGGUCCUGUAUGUGGGGGUUCGAAUCCUCCCCGGGCAA